rnacentral:lncRNA from 1 species
AGCCAGUAUCUUUCUUUUUUGUUCUAAAGAAAUAAAAAUAUCUUCUUGGAAUCAUGGUCGAUAUUAUAGUUAUCCAAAAAAUCUGGUAAUAGUUGAAUGAUUUUUUAUUCAAUAAAAAAGGUCAAAUCUUUGAAUCUUAAUUUGAUUGAACCAAUCAGGUAAUACCUGAAAAUUGAAAUUUCACUGCUGUGUACAUUAUAUAUAUCUCUAUCCUCUGUAAUCCGCAAAUUUCAAGCUUGAUAAUUUCAACCAUGGAGCCUGCAAAGUCGAUAGAUGGAUUGAUACCGUUGAUUAUCCGAGUGGUCAGGAACAAGAAUGAUAAACAGACAAGGACGGAGCACAAUCAGGUCGGGAGCGCGACGAACACAGCCGAACGGGAGAAUCAGGUUGGGAAAGUCGAUGGUUUUGUAGAAAUGGUCGGUAGUUUUCGCUGGCCGGAACAUUUUGUAGAUCCAUCUUUGGUUGGUAAGAGAGAAAGUAGACGUAGGAAGGUGAUGUCGUGGAUAGCAGGUGGGAGUUGAUUGUAUAGAUAGAUAGAUAGAUAGAUAGAUUAAAUCAUGUGUUAUUACCUGCUGGUUUUUAUUUACGCAUUGGCGUUCCUCCGGUGACUAUUCUCCGGCGAUCUCCUUGUAGUUUUCUUUCACCUCUUCUGCUCCCGAUUAAUAAUGAAAACAACAGUUGAAAGAAUCUACAUCGUUAAAAUGAAUUAUAAAAUCCGAACUUUGCUUCCCGUCUUUGUCGAAUCUAUAUGCUGAAAACAAUACAGAUGUUCAUUAUAAACUUUUUUCAUGACUAAUUUACCCUUUUUCAUUUAAGUGUUAAUUAUUUGGGUUCACAUCUUACGUUUUGACGAAGUAAAUAAAAAUUAAAGUAUAUAUAUUAAAACUCGAAUCUUAGACCAACUCUACACCCCGUCUUCCUCAGCUCG